GACGAACCGUGCAAACGUUGUUCGGAAUCACUGGGCUUAAAGGGCGCGUAGGCGGGCCGGAUAGUCUGUGGUGAAAGCCUCCAGCUUAACUGGAGAAGUGCCAUGGAUACUGCCGGUCUGGAGGAGGGUAGGGGCAUCUGGAACGCUGGGUGGAGCGGUGAAAUGCGUUGAUAUCCAGCGGAACUCCGGUGGCGAAGGCGAGGUGCUGGACCCUUUCUGACGCUGAGGCGCGAAGCCAGGGAGCAAACGGG
rnacentral:rRNA from 1 species